UACGUAGGCAACGAGCGUUGUUCGGAGUUACUGGGCGUAAAGAGUGCGUAGGCGGUUUUCUAAGUUUGGUGUGAAAUCUCCCGGCUUAACUGGGAGGGUGCGCCGAAGACUGGAAGGCUUGAGUAUGGGAGAGGUAAGCGGAAUUCCUGGUGUAGCGGUGAAAUGCGUAGAUAUCAGGAGGAACACCUGCGGUGUAGACGGCUUACUGGACCAUAACUGACGCUGAGGCACGAAAGCGUGGGUAGCAAACAGG
rnacentral:rRNA from 1 species